rnacentral:rRNA from 1 species
GACGAACGCUGGCGGCGUGCUUAACACAUGCAAGUCGAACGGUGAAGCGCCUUCCUUUUUGGUGGGUGUGGAUGAGUGGCGAACGGGUGAGUAACACGUGAGUAACCUGCCCCCUUCUUCUGGAUAACCGCAUGAAAGUGUGGCUAAUACGGGAUAUUCUGGGUCUGUCGCAUGAUGGGUCUGGGAAAGAUAUUGUUUCGGUGGGGGAUGGGCUCGCGGCCUAUCAGCUUGUUGGUGGGGUGAUGGCCUACCAAGGCGGUGACGGGUAGCCGGCCUGAGAGGGUGGCCGGUCACACUGGGACUGAGACACGGCCCAGACUCCUACGAGAGGCAGCAGUGGGGAAUAUUGCACAAUGGGCGCAAGCCUGAUGCAGCGACGCCGCGUGAGGGAUGGAGGCCUUCGGGUUGUGAACCUCUUUCGCCAGUGAAGCAGGCCUGCCUCGUUUGUGGGUGGGUUGACGGUAGCUGGAUAAGAAGCGCCGGCUAACUACGUG